rnacentral:rRNA from 1 species
AAAGCGGGGGAUCUUCGGACCUCGCGCUAUUAGAUGAGCCUGCGUUAGAUUAGCUAGUUGGUGGGGUAAAGCCUACCAAGGCGACGAUCUAUAGCUGGUCUGAGAGGACGAUCAGCCACACUGGGACUGAGACACGGCCCAGACUCCUACGGGAGGCAGCAGUGGGGAAUAUUGGACAAUGGGCGCAAGCCUGAUCCAGCAAUACCGCGUGUGUGAAGAAGGGCCCGAGGGUUGUAAAGCACUUUCAAUUGGGGAGG